rnacentral:rRNA from 1 species
GUUAAGUGACUAAGCGUACACGGUGGAUGCCUUGGCAGUCAGAGGCGAUGAAGGACGUAGUAACUUGCGAUAAGCGUAGAUGAGGCAGUAACAGCCACUUGAGUCUACGAUUUCCGAAUGGGGAAACCCACUGGCAUAAGCCAGUAUCAUUGAGUGAAUACAUAGCUCAAUGAAGCGAACCGGGAGAACUGAAACAUCUAAGUACCCCGAGGAAAAGAAAUCAACCGAGAUUCCGAAAGUAGCGGCGAGCGAAAUUGGAUUAGCCCUUAAGCUUUACAUGUGUUAGACGAACGGUCUGGAAAGUCCGACGAUACAGGGUGAUAGUCCCGUAGUUGACGAUGCAUGUUCAGUGAAAUCGAGUAGGGCGGGACACGUGUUAUCCUGUCUGAAUAUGGGGGGACCAUCCUCCAAGGCUAAAUACUCCUGACUGACCGAUAGUGAACCAGUACCGUGAGGGAAAGGCGAAAAGAACCCCUGUGAGGGGAGUGAAAUAGAACCUGAAACCGUGUACGUACAAGCAGUAGGAGCACCUUCGUGGUGUGACUGCGUACCUUUUGUAUAAUGGGUCAGCGACUUAUAUUCAGUGGCAAGGUUAACCAUCUAGGGGAGCCGUAGGGAAACCGAGUCUUAACUGGGCGCCAUAGUCUCUGGAUAUAGACCCGAAACCGAGUGAUCUAGCCAUGGGCAGGUUGAAGGUUGAGUAACAUCAACUGGAGGACCGAACCGACUAAUGUUGAAAAAUUAGCGGAUGACUUGUGGCUAGGGGUGAAAGGCCAAUCAAACUCGGAGAUAGCUGGUUCUCCCCGAAAGCUAUUUAGGUAGCGCCUCGGACGAAUACUACUGGGGGUAGAGCACUGUUAAGGCUAGGGGGUCAUCCCGACUUACCAACCCUUUGCAAACUCCGAAUACCAGUAAGUACUAUCCGGGAGACACACGGCGGGUGCUAACGUCCGUCGUGGAGAGGGAAACAACCCAGACCGCCAGCUAAGGUCCCAAAUUACAGCUAAGUGGGAAACGAUGUGGGAAGGCUUAGACAGCUAGGAUGUUGGCUUAGAAGCAGCCAUCAUUUAAAGAAAGCGUAAUAGCUCACUAGUCGAGUCGGCCUGCGCGGAAGAUGUAACGGGGCUAAGUUGUAAA